GCUUGUUUUGGCAGCACCCGUACAAAACUGGGACAAUACAGAGAAGAUUAUCAUGGUCCCUGUGCAAGGAUGAUGCGCACAUUUGUGAAGUGUCCCAUGUUUUG
rnacentral:snRNA from 1 species